CCCUUCCUUUAUCCCCUCAUCCCGGCCCGAACUCGAAGCCUCGUUCCCGGUGAGAUGGUCGUAUCGUGACCGAACAUAACAAUCACAACGGGAAACCGAGCGUGCCUGUAUCCUCGAUUUUACUCGUAUACAGUGUGACCGAGAAUGGCAAUUCAUUCAUGGCAUUUGGAUGUUUGCUCAAGUAAAACAAAUUCCAAACGGUAACUUGAUGUUUUUUUAAAUUUUCUUUGGGGUUUUGUCUUUUCUUUUUCUAAUACAAUUCGACGGACCUCAAUUUUUUUUUUUUCAAAUCCGAAUUUCAAAUGAGACUCAAACGAAUUUUCAACUCCCAGCAGUCCCACAUCAUUUUUACAAGAUAAAACCCUAGCUUCAUUAUCAAAAAAGGUUUGAACACCCCCCAAGUUCUAAACUUUUCAAUUAGUUGGCUUAAAACGAGAAAUUUUCUCUUAUAAAUCAAGUUCUUAAAUUAUCGAAGCAAGUUAAAAUAAAUUUUUUGAGUUUUAACUAGUUGUUGGUGAAAGGUCGAAGGUGAUCCACAACUCUCAUAGCCCCCGUCAUUGCAUCGAAGAAAGAUAAUAUUUCCUUCCUCAUCUCAGUCGUCUUUUCAAUUCUGUGUAUUUCGAUUCUGUAGUUAGAGUAGUUUAGUUUAAAUCUGUCUAUUAAGCUACUAGUUACGUAGUAUAAUUUUCUCUUUUUAGUUCUUUCUUUAUUUCCUCUUUAUUUUGGUAUUUAGUUUAAAUCUCAGUUAUGUUUGUUGCUGGCUAAAAAUUUGAUAUGAACUUAGCAUGAUCAUAUUUCGUUAAUAGGUAUAUUUACUGUCGGAAGGGGAGCCUUGGCGUAAUUGGUAAAGUUGCUGCCAUGUGACCAGGAGGUCACGGGUUCGAGCCGUCGAAAUAGCCUCUUGCAGAAAUGCAAGGUAAGGCUACGUACAAUAGACCCUUGUGGUUCGGCCCUUCCCCGGACUCCGCACAUAGCGGGAUCUUAGUGCACCGGGCUGCCCUUUUUUAGGUAUAUUUACUGUCUUAAAAUUCAUAAUAAAAGCAGGGCCUAGUAUGAAGAUUUCUGGUCUUGUUUUGGUUUAGGAAGUAUUAAACCAAAUCAUAUUACAUUAGGUUGUCUUGCUAUUUUUAUUACCUGUUGAGUUGGGAUAGAGGUAUAGAAAAAAUAAGAAUUUAGUUUCAGCAUUCCACUUUCCAUAUUGAAUUCCCUUAAUGCUUGCAUUUCAUUUUCGGUAGCCUAACUGGUUUGUUGGCAUUUCACUGUUUCUCAUGUUUUCCCUGUGAGACUUGUAUGAGUGUUGUUUGUUUUAAUCCCCCUCCUCUGCUAUUUUAUUGAUCUAUUUUAGUCUUUGUAAAUUGGUGCUAUGCCUCAAAAAAUUAAGAUUUAGUUCUUCUUUGUAAGCUCUAUUAACUCUUGAACCAUGACUUGAAGAGGUAGAAAUGUAGUCUUUUAUCAUAGGAGGUAGAAAUGUAGUCUUUUAUCAUAGCACUCCUAAAGUGCUAGUCUAAAACUGUUUCUAGGGAAUUUCCUGCUGAAGUUUUUGCUACUAACUUACGUCAAAAAAAUUGUUAAGUUCAAACAGGUCUUGUUCAGUUUUUCUUUCACUUUCUCGUUUAACGAAACAACAUGAUGGAUAGUGUGGCCCCUUAAGGUUUCUCUGCUUUGUGGUGUUGUGAGAUUAGCUCAAAAACAUGAAGAUGUUUUAGUGUUGGUGGAUUCAGCUACUGGUUAUUGUCCUUUCCGUGUCGUACUCAUUCGGACCAACUGACCAUUUGAUUUUUAAGCUUCUUGAGGUUGAGAUCAAAAGCACUUUCUGUAACUGAAUGCUAAAUCAGGGUUGGGCUUGGUAUGUCUUUAAAACCAACUUGCUAAAGAAUCCCCUUUUGAACCUUUUAGUGCCAAGAUGAUAGAUUUAUUGAUAUGAUUCCUAGUUUCUUCAUUGUCUCAACAUCCCUUCUUUUUUAUUCUCAAGACCAUUGUGAUUUUGUCUCUUAGAUGUUAAGGUGUAAGGUUAAUUUCUUAUGAGAAUCUGGAACCUGUUUUAAAAUGAAUGGAAUGUCCUACUUCUCAAUUUGGUUUUCAAAACUUUGCCUAAAGCUGAUGUAUAUUGGUGUGUGUAAAGAACAAUAUGUUUUUUUUUCUUUCUAAGUAAGUUAAUAAUGACUUCUGUGGUAAAUUAAACAUGCCAUGAGGUGUAUAAUUUCACUUCAUAACAGUCCUAACUCCUAAAAGGAUCUGUAUUUUAAAGAUUCUAUAUUCUCUCUUGUUGCCAGUUCAGGGAAUAUGUUUGCAUCCUUUGUGUAUUUUGUUUGUACCCCUUCUUGAGAGAUGGAUAAGUUUGAUUAUGAGAAAUUGGUUUGGUUAACUUGGCUAGUGAACCAAUAUCAGGCAGUAGUUUUUUGUUAAGAUUUAGUUUCUAAGAGUACUUCCUUUACGUAUCAUAAAAAAGGCAUUUUUUUUGUAAGAAGAAGAGAGUGUUUCUUCACAUCUUUAAAUAAGUGCACUCCUUCAUGUUGUAAAAGUUUGGUUCUUGCAUAAUAUCUCAGAUCUUCAAAUACUAUAUGAAGUGAACAUGAUGCCUUAGUUUUAUCCAUACAUAGCUUAUGUUCAUGUGAUAUUCGUGGAGAUUUACUUAAGUCUGUAGUUUAAUAAUUUUCUUCUCCCUUAUUUCGCUUAGAGUAGUUAAAUGCCUAACUAUAGAUGUUAUUUCCUAGAGUUAAAUAUUCUCUUUCCUUCAAACAAGUUGCAGUUGAGCAUAAGGCUCCUUUUCUAGUAGUUGAAAUCAUUCUCUAUUUAGGUCUUAAACUAAAUAUAGGUUGAAUAAAGAUAUUAUAAAACAACGGGGUUUGUUUGUGAUAGCCCUCUCAUGUGCAUUCAAAUUCAAGUUACAAUAAAGUUAAGCUUUGUUAAACUUAUCUAAAUGUGGUAUAGGUCUGUCUUAGGCCUUAAUAGUAACAAAAAUGUCCCUUUUAAAGGGAUUUCAGUUUUUUUAUAAUCUUAUCAGGAAUAUUGUUAGCCUUUGUGAUAUUCAUAUGUUUGAUCUAGGUAUACCUAGAGGUUCUAAAGCAUGAGGCAAAUGCAUGUUAUGCCACAGUCACAAGAUAUGACAAGCAGAUCCUUCUUUGCCUAAGACAUACCUUCUAUCCUAUGCAUUAUUUUGUUAAAACUUCUUUAUGUUUGUUUGAUACUCAUCCUUUACCCCUGUUUUCUUUGCAUGAUCUGGGGAGUUUACAUCCCAAAAUCUCCUUGAAUUGCUGUCUUGUUGCUGCUGCUGUAAGUUGCUGACCUUUUGAACAAAUUAUUGUGUUCUUGAGAUGCCACACUUAAGAGAGUUGUUGGCUGCAUUUGGGACUUUGAAACUAUUGCUAUGUUUGGUUUCCCAUUGGGGUAUUUGGUCAAAUGCUUGCUGCAUUUUGAGACUGGACCUGCUACAUCUUAAAGGGUCUAGGGAGCUGUGUUUGAGGUUCAUUUUGUUAAUAAAAAGCUGUUAUGUUUAGUUGAUUGAUCCUGAGAAUAGAUACCUUAUUUGAGUUGUUGUAUUUAGACAAGCUAUUGCUUUAAAAGAGGAGAACAGCUGCUGCACUUUGAGCACUUGUUUAAUUGCUGCACCCAAUACUUGGAAACAAAGGCUGUAUGUGAGUUUGAAGUUUGCUAUCAACUGUUGCUAUACGUGGGUUGAUUACUGCUAGUUUGCUACUGCAUUUUGGCUGAACAAUUGCUGCAUUUUGAGCCACUGUGACUUGAUGAGUGUUUGGCAUUGUGCUUCAGGGGUAAAUUGCUGGUGCGUUUGGACCAUUUGUUGCUGUGUUUUAAAGCCCUUUUGCUGCUGCAUUUCAAACUAAAUUGCUGGCCAACUGUGAACCAGUUUGCUGUUAUGUCUUGAGCCAAACUACUACUAAUUUUGGCCUUUAUAUUGCUGUACUUUUGAGCCAAAAGGUGGCUGUAUUUCGAGGGAAAAUGAACAGAUAUUACACUUGAGUUAUUGUGUUAGAGUAGCUGCCACAUCUUGAGCCGAAUCAUUAGCAUUUUGUGCCCACUACUGCUGCUUCGAUUGAGCUGAUUUGAACCAAAAUGCUGCUGUGUUUUAAGCUAAAUAGUUGCUGCACUUGAGAACACUUGUUAGGCUUGAUGCUUCAACUGUUAUACUUAAGAACAGCUUAUUCAGCUGCUGCUAUGUUCUUUAAAAAACUGAUUGCUACACUCGAUGAAAUUUUACUAAUUUGAACUUGAUACUACACUUGGGCCGAUGAGAACAUUUAUUUUGAGGCCAUGCCUUGUCCGAAAAGGUUAUCCCUCGGUUUAGGCAACGAUGAUCUCACGGUGAUAUCACGAGGUAGGAACCAACAUGCGCUUGGCAAGGCAACUAUAAUGGCCACUAGUUUGCAGGCGCGACAUGAUUCGGGUUCCUUUGCCAUAUUCGGAACCGUGAGUCUAAGCCUCCGUAAUCAAAGCUCUCAAAGUUUGAUACGAGUCCGAGGGAUAUUAUUAUUUAUGUCCCUAAACGUCGCCCUACGGGGUGGUGUUUUGACUAACUACUUUCCUUUUUAUUGUGCGAGGUACCAAUAAAACAAGCACGAAAAGCAAAGCUUAAGGACGAAGUAAAAGGAUCGGAUGCUUAGAGCUUUGGACGAAGACUAGAAGAGUAUGGGGUUUGGGCCCAAGGCCGACAAAGCUAAACUUUCUUCCCUUCUUUAUUUUUGUAUAAAACAUGCUUAUUUUAUAUGUUUACAUUCACUUUGUAUGAACAUGCUUUUUUGUAAAUAUUUGUAUAGAUAUUGAAACCCUUAUAAGUUGGAACUGAGGAUUCAAAUAGAUGAUAUUUCAAAUUGUACCCAAACGAUAAAAGAGUUGUAUUCCAUUUGAUUAAAGUAACUAAAAGUGAAAGAAUGUUUUCUUGUACAAAAAUUUGAUUAACUUUGAAUAUAUCUUUAAAAGUACAUUUCAUAAUUUGAGAAACUUAAGAAAAGAAAGUAAAAAGAAAUAUUUGGGCUAGACCCAACUUAAUGAAUUCAGAUGAAUGGGAUUUCUUUCUAAGCCCGAAUUGGGGAAAAUAGUUCCAGGCAUACGGUUGACCAAAGAGAUAAAAUGUGGAUAAUGUAUGAAUUAAUAAAAGACUAUACAUAUAUGUAUACAUAUAUAUAUUUUCUUAUAUACAAACACAUGGCAUUAGUUUUAGAUGGGAUAUAUCCAGUAUACUAUCCUUAUAAGUAAAAGGACAAUAUUAUUUUUACUUGGAUAUUUUAAAUCUGAACUUAAACUAUCCUUAUUCAAAAAGGAAAUUCUUUAAUUCUUUCAAAAGUCGAUAUGAUAUGUCACGACAGUAUUUUUAUAUAGGGAAUUAAAUAAAACAUAAGCAGUUCAUACAAAAUCACACAUUGAAGCUCGAAGGUCAACCGUAUGCUACGGAUCCUUAAUACUAGGGGGCCUAACACCUUCCUUAGGGGAUCACUAGAACCCUUACCUAGAACUCUGGAUUACGAAGGAUUUUUCACUGUAUUUGAAUAAACCCGUCACCACUGGUUUUCCUAAUUUCCUAAAAAUAUUAGGUGACGACUCUUUUUCAAAACAAAUCCUAAAGAGCACCAAAAAACUCGUAAUAGCUUUCUGAGCGCUAACCCCGCCCGCGAAAUGCGAACCGUAACAAUGGUUGUUGCUUACUUGUGCUAUGAUAGCCAUGAUUGGUCGAUACUUGUGAUUAUAUGAAUAUAUCUUGCAUUCAUCACUCCACAUCUCGUCUAAGUUAGAAAAAAAAAGACUUGUCUUGAUAAAUUGAAUUAGUAUUAUGCAUUUGCAUGGUGUAUGCAUAUCUAUUACAUACAUUCAUGAUAUUAUUGGCAUCUGAUUGAUGAGGUACAGGAAAGGGGCCUUGGAGGCCAGAUAUUGGAUAUGGUACAUGGACGGAGUGAUGAUGAUAGUAUAGCCUAAGGGCUGGUACAUGAUGAUGAUAUUACAGCCUAAGAGCUGGGACGCAAUGGAAAAUAAUUCCAGGUACAGAUCAGAGCACGAGUUGAGCAUCGAGGUUCGGUUGACCGUUGGAGCGCACUACCUUAGAGUCCAGUAUAAGCUGCUAAUGUCUCCCCAGCACUGGAUUCCAUCCUAUCUUUAAUUUCUGUCUUCAUUUAUUUUAGACAGUUUCGUAAUAGCGUUUAAGAAUUGUAAUCAUAUCUUAGAAAGCUUUUGUACUUAUGACUUAUGGGGUUGGGAAGGUGUUUGACUUAGACAUGUAUAUAAUUAAGUCAUUAAGAACAUUCAGUACUUUGGGUGUU